ACCGAAGGCAUCUUUGGUUGUGGAAAGUUUUUUCGGUUGGGGAUGGGCUCGCGGCCUAUCAGUUUGUUGGUGAGGUAAUGGCUCACCAAGACGACGACGGGUAGCCGGCCUGAGAGGGCGACCGGCCACACUGGGACUGAGACACGGCCCAGACUCCUACGGGAGGCAGCAGUGGGGAAUAUUGCACAAUGGGGGAAACCCUGAUGCAGCGACGCAGCGUGCGGGAUGACGGCCUUCGGGUUGUAAACCGCUUUCAGCAGGGAAGAAGCCCCUUGGGGUGACGGUACCUGCAGAAGAAGUACCGGCUAACUACGUGCCAGCAGCCGCGGUAAUACGUAGGGUACAAGCGUUGUCCGGAAUUAUUGGGCGUAAAGAGCUCGUAGGUGGUUGGUCACGUCUGCUGUGGAAACGCAACGCUUAACGUUGCGCGUGCAGUGGGUACGGGCUGACUAGAGUGCAGUAGGGGAGUCUGGAAUUCCUGGUGUAGCGGUGAAAUGCGCAGAUAUCAGGAGGAACACCGGUGGCGAA
rnacentral:rRNA from 1 species